rnacentral:misc_RNA from 1 species
GUGAGUCAUCGAAUCUUUGAACGCAUAUUGCGCCCUUUGGCAUUCCUUAGGGCACACCUGUUCGAGCGUCAUUACACCACUCAAGCCUGGCUUGGUAUUGGGCGUCGCGGCGUUCGUUUCAUCGCCCGCGCGCCUCAAAGACCCCGGCCGGGUCGUCGAACCCCCUAGCGUUGUGGAACCUCUUACUCGCUCGUGGGAGUCGGCGGCCCGCUGCCGUCAAAAAACCUCAACUUCAAAGGUUGACCUCGGAUCAGGUGGGGAUACCCGCUGAACUUAAGCAUAUCAAUAAGCGGAGGA